UCCGUAGGUGAACCUGCGGAAGGAUCAUUAUUGAACCUAAGCAAGCCUGGCAAUUUAUUUUGCAAGGUUUUGCGCGUAUUUAAAACCCCACACUUUUGAAAAUAACAUGUAUUUUACUUAAAAUAAGUAAUUAAAAGAUCACUUUCAACAACGGAUCUCUUGGCUCUCGCAUCGAUGAAGAACGUAGCGAAGUGCGAUAAGUAGUGUGAAUUGCAGAAUUCCGUGGAUCAUCGAAUUUUUGAACGCAAAUUGCACUCUCUGGUAUUCCGGAGAGUAUGCCUGUUUGAGGGUCAUCAAAAUCAAAAUCGAUUUGUUACUUUGGUAACUUGGUAACGUUUCGGAAUUGGGUCAUCUUAAACCUUCAGGUUCAAGAGGCUUAAAAUUGAUCAUUUUUUGGUAUGAAUUAAGCGUAUUUAAGAUCUCUUAUCACGCGCUUGACUCCUAUCGGAUGUUUAUUAGGCGUGACCGUGAUCAUGGUUUCGCGCCCAUAAUCUUUCAUGAAAUGACCUCAAAUCAGGUAGGAAUACCCGCUGAACUUAA
rnacentral:rRNA from 1 species